rnacentral:rRNA from 1 species
UACGUAGGGGGCGAGCGUUGUCCGGAUUUACUGGGCGUAAAGCGCACGUAGGCGGCUUUGUAAGUUAGAGGUGAAAGCCCAGAGCUCAACUCUGGAACUGCCUUUAAGACUGCAUCGCUUGAAUUGUGGAGAGGUAAGUGGAAUUCCGAGUGUAGAGGUGAAAUUCGUAGAUAUUCGGAAGAACACCAGUGGCGAAGGCGACUUACUGGACACAUAUUGACGCUGAGGUGCGAAAGCGUGGGGAGCAAACAGG